rnacentral:rRNA from 1 species
CCUACGGGUGGCAGCAGUGAGGAAUAUUGGUCAAUGGACGAGAGUCUGAACCAGCCAAGUAGCGUGAAGGAUGACUGCCCUAUGGGUUGUAAACUUCUUUUAUAUGGGAAUAAAAUGUUCCACGUGUGGGAUUUUGUAUGUACCAUAUGAAUAAGGAUCGGCUAACUCCGUGCCAGCAGCCGCGGUAAUACGGAGGAUCCGAGCGUUAUCCGGAUUUAUUGGGUUUAAAGGGAGCGUAGGUGGAUUGUUAAGUCAGUUGUGAAAGUUUGCGGCUCAACCGUAAAAUUGCAGUUGAAACUGGCAGUCUUGAGUACAGUAGAGGUGGGCGGAAUUCGUGGUGUAGCGGUGAAAUGCUUAGAUAUCACGAAGAACGCCGAUUGCGAAGGCAGUUCACUGGACUGCAACUGACACUGAGGCUCGAAAGUGUGGGUAUCAAACAGGAUUAGAUACCCUUGUAGUC